GCCUUCUUAGCUCAGUGGUAGAGGGCGCCACACGUACUCUGGCGAGUGCAUGGUGAGGUCGGUUGUUCAAUCCAGCCAGGAGGCA